rnacentral:SRP_RNA from 2 species
UCAGGUUCGGAAAGCAGCAGCACUAGGUAAAUCCCGCGACGUGACGCUGUUUGCU